rnacentral:lncRNA from 1 species
AUUAAGUCAUAAGGGCUCUUACAUCACAAUGGAACUAACACCUUUAUAAAAGGGCUCAACAUUUAAAGGAACACUUUCCUGCACCUCUGUCCAUUUCUCCAUGUGAGGAUACAAUGUCCAUCCUCACAUGGACAUUGCCUCAGAGGCAUGAGAACAGAGGUGGACCUAGCUUAGAUGGAUGAAAAACAGAGAAUAUCUGCACCUGGUCACACCUGGGCACCACAGUGGGUGUAUUCCUAUGGCUCCCACUCCAUCUUUAAAAGGGCCUCAGCUGGAUACAGCCCAACUGAGAAGAAAUUCAAAAGGAGUCAACACCACGGCCACUGACAAUCACAAAUAUCCCAAAGGAAGAAAUGUAGCAGUAUUUCCGGGGCAUCCUAUCCUGAGACCAAGACUGAAAGAAUUAGAGAUAGACUCUUCUCAAAGGUUAUGAUCAUCAGGAAGGAUCUGAGGUGAAAUCGUUCUUCUGAAAGCUAACCUGGCAGGAGUUUUUCCAGUAGUGGGCAUUUAAGUCACCUGGGAAAGAGGGCUAAGGACACUCUCUCGCCUGGCUUCCAGUGACUCCGGCACAGUCCAGGUCAAUCUGUCUCUCUCAACCUUCAUUUUUGCAUGUUCUUCCAUCAGUGGAUCUCUAUGUUAUACUUCCACAAAUUAAAAU